CAAAACCUGCCCUGUUCGUGUACGUUGGCUUUUAUAACCCUACAACAAUACUAAAAAGGGAGCUCGGCUCCUGCGGCGGAUUGCAGACCUCCCGGCCCGGCUUUGACCGGUGCUGGAAGAAGGGAGCGUGAACCCGUGGGGCGGGCACCCACCUGCUGCACUGCAGGUUAUCAUCAGCUGCCUACGGCAGGGCGGGCUUUCU
rnacentral:other from 1 species